UGUAAAGUAAGCAACUACAUGAUCAAAUUCUAUUACCAAAAAGCUUGAUCAUCUGACAGCUGUUCAGGUAAUGGUAAUACUGAUCCAAAAUAUCUUGCAUUUGGGAAAAGCAAUGAUUAUUUUAAUCUCCAAGAGAAGUUAAGAACAAGUCACAACCAAAAAAGAUUUCCCUGAACAUUGAAAGACUGCAUUCAGAAAAUGGAAAGAAUUUGAAAGACAAUCCCACUGCUUGAUAGAACUACUCCUCCUGAAGAUGUAUACCUCACUGUCUUGAACUACACAACCUCCAGAUCACAACUGCUUCCUAGCACAGAUGCUGUGAACACACAGAGGGAGUUCCUUCACUGCAGAGAUGUGAGCAUAAAUCAGUCCUUGCAGUACACAAAGCCGCACACAAAUGCACAACGAUUCAUACUACUGCAUGAAGCCCCUUCACUGAAUGAGGAG
ensembl:lncRNA